GGCGGUCAACGGCUGAGACGAGAAUGAGCUGGCCGGUCUGAUGAACGGGUACCGAUAUUCCGCCGGAUGCUCUUCCUGCACACCUGCAUUUGAAACAGAAGAAUCUCGAAUCAAGAAAGAAAAAAAAAACACAGAGAACACGUGUUUGUGUGUGA